UACGUAGGUGGCAAGCGUUAUCCGGAAUUAUUGGGCGUAAAGGGUCCGCAGGUGGUGAAUCAAGUCUGUUGUCAAAGCGUGGAGCUUAACUCCAUAAGGGCAAUGGAAACUGAUUGACUAGAGUACAGUAGGGGUUGCGGGAAUUCCCAGUGUAGCGGUGAAAUGCGUAGAUAUUGGGAAGAACACCAGCGGCGAAGGCGCGCGACUGGACUGAGACUGACACUGAGGGACGAAAGCUAGGGGAGCGAAAGGG
rnacentral:rRNA from 1 species